rnacentral:rRNA from 1 species
AGCGACAGGCCUAACACAUGCAAGUCGAGGGCGAGCACAAGGAGCAAUCUGAGGUGGCGACCGGCGCACGGGUGAGUAACACGUAUGCAACCUGCCUGUAAGCGGGGAAUAACCCGUUGAAAGACGGACUAAUACCGCAUAAUACUAAAUUACUGCAUGGUAAUUUAUUUAAACAUUUAUGGCUUACAGAUGGGCAUGCGCAUGAUUAGCUAGUUGGAGAGGUAACGGCUCCCCAAGGCAACGAUCAUUAGGGGUUCUGAGAGGAAGGUCCCCCACACUGGUACUGAGACACGGACCAGACUCCUACGGGAGGCAGCAGUGAGGAAUAUUGGUCAAUGGACGAGAGUCUGAACCAGCCAAGUCGCGUGCAGGAAGAAUGUCCCUAUGGAUUGUAAACUGCUUUUGCAGGGGAAUAAAGUGCAUCACGUGUGAUGUUUUGUAUGUACUCUGCGAAUAAGGAUCGGCUAACUCCGUGCCAGCAGCGGC